CCUACGGGUGGCAGCAGUGGGGAAUAUUGGGCAAUGGGCGCAAGCCUGACCCAGCAACGCCGCGUGAAGGAAUCAGGCCCUCGGGUUGUAAACUUCUUUUGUCAGGGACGAAACAAAUGACGGUACCUGACGCAUAAGCCACGGCUAACUACGGGCCAGCAGCCGCGGUAAUACGGAGGUGGCAAGCGUGAUCCGGAUUUACUGGGUGUAAAGGGCGGGUAGGCGGUGGAUCAAGUCAGAUGGUAACUUCGCGGGCUCAACCCUGGAACAGCAUUUGAAACUGUUUGUCUUGAGUGAUGGAGAGGCAGGCGGAAUGCCGGGUGUAGCGGUGAAAUGCGGAGAUAUACGGAGGAACACCAGUGGCGAAGGCGGCCUGCUGGACAGUAACUGACGCUGAGGCGCGAAAGCGUGGGGAGCAAACAGGAUUAGAUACCCCAGGAGUC
rnacentral:rRNA from 1 species